ACCCAGCUGACGAGUCCCAAAAUAGGGUGAAACACGAGUCCUGGAU
rnacentral:hammerhead_ribozyme from 1 species